AAAUAAACCUGAUAUAGUGGAAAUACUUUUUUAAAAACCAGUAAGAUUUUCAAAAUCUUUCUGGUUUGAAAAAGAUUGGAACGAUAGCAGGACUGUCG
rnacentral:sRNA from 1 species